rnacentral:lncRNA from 1 species
AUUAUCGAUCAUUUCCAUAUCAACUCAAGCUUUUGGAGUCCAUGGGUAAAUCAACAAUUCCUAACUUUAUAAACACCCAUAUAUGAGAAGAAUGAAAUGAUCACUGUUUUAGAAAAAUAAAAAUCAUGUGACUGUGAAUCACUCAUAUAUUUUAAACAUCCUUAACAUGGAGGCAUUGCAUGUGAGCACUUGUGUAAACACAUGCGCAUGCAUCCAUGUGUGUUGGAGGGGAAGGGGAUUGGCCAACUUCAGUUGAGGUACAAUGAAAGGAGCCAAAUAAAUCCUUCCACAAACAUGGUAGAGGGGGGAGAGAGACAAAUUAGUAGAAGGAUGAGAUUGUGCUUAAUUUCACUUGUUACUAAAGAUAAAAACAAAGUGAAAGAAUAAUUUGAUAUAUACAUAUAUGUUUGUUCUGUCUCCAACUGAUGUAAAAGACAAUGGAUGGCAAAGAAGCCAAAAGAUCCUUUUACAUCUCUCUAAGAAGAAAGUAUUGGUGGAGAGAGGACUACCCGAUUUGAUGCAACUCAUUUCAACAAAAAGGAGGAAGACUCAGAGGAAUUUAUUAGAUUUAGCUUCUCUUUUAGGUAGAGGGGAAAAAAGAGAAGAGAUUCGCACUUUCAAAAAGUUGAAAAAUAUGAUAUUUCAAGGAAGAAGAUGUGAGGGUGGUGGAAAAGUCCACCUACUUUUGUUGGUUGUUAAAGGUGGAAGAGAAAAGUGCUGUUUGGUUUGUUCAAGAUUCAUAUUAUAACUAGAAAAGAUGGAAAGUGUAAAGAGAGUGUAAGUUAGAUUUUAAGCUCCUAAAUCAAUGUGUUAAAUUAGG